rnacentral:SRP_RNA from 1 species
GCCAGGCACAGUGGCGUGUGCCUGUAGUCCCUGCUACCGGGGAGGCUGAGGCUGGAGGAUCGCUUGAGUCCAGGAAUUCUGGGCUGCUGUGCGCUAUGCCGAUCGGGUGUCUGCACUAAGUUCGGCAUCAAUAUGGUGACCUCCCGGGAGUGGGGGACCACCAGGUUGUCUAAGGAGGGGUGAACUGGCCCAGGUCAGAAAUGGAGCAGGUCAAAACUCCCGUGUUGAUCAGUAGUGGGAUCGCGCCUGUGAAUAGCCACUGUACUCUAGCCUGGGCAACAUAGCGAGACCCUGUCACU